GUCUACGGCCAUACCACCCUGAACGCGCCCGAUCUCGUCUGAUCUCGGAAGCUAAGCAGGGUCGGGCCUGGUUAGUACUUGGAUGGGAGA
rnacentral:rRNA from 1 species